GAUGAACGCUAGCUACAGGCUUAACACAUGCAAGUCGAGGGGAAACGAUAUUGGAAGCUUGCUUCUGAUAGGCGUCGACCGGCGCACGGGUGAGUAACGCGUAUCCAACCUGCCCAUCACUUGGGGAUAACCUUGCGAAAGUAAGACUAAUACCCAAUGACGUCUCUAGAAGACAUCUGAAAGAGAUUAAAGAUUUAUCGGUGAUGGAUGGGGAUGCGUCUGAUUAGCUUGUUGGCGGGGUAACGGCCCACCAAGGCGACGAUCAGUAGGGGUUCUGAGAGGAAGGUCCCCCACAUUGGAACUGAGACACGGUCCAAACUCCUACGGGAGGCAGCAGUGAGGAAUAUUGGUCAAUGGACGAGAGUCUGAACCAGCCAAGUAGCGUGCAGGAAGACGGCCCUAUGGGUUGUAAACUGCUUUUAUAAGGGAAUAAAGUGAGUCUCGUGAGACUUUUUGCAUGUACCUUAUGAAUAAGGACCGGCUAAUUCCGUGCCAGCA
rnacentral:rRNA from 1 species